rnacentral:tRNA from 1 species
UUCAGAAUGGCCGAGUGGUCUAAGGCGCUGCGUUCAGCUCACAGUCUCCCCUGGAGGCGUGGGUUCGAAUCCCACUCCUGACU